AACGAACGCUGGCGGCAUGCCUAACACAUGCAAGUCGAACGAGACCUUCGGGUCUAGUGGCGCACGGGUGCGUAACGCGUGGGAACCUGCCCUUAGGUUCGGAAUAACUCCCCGAAAGGGGUGCUAAUACCGGAUAAUGUCUUCGGACCAAAGAUUUAUCGCCUUUGGAUGGGCUCGCGUUGGAUUAGCUAGUUGGUAGGGUAAAAGCCUACCAAGGCGACGAUCCAUAGCUGGUCUGAGAGGAUGAUCAGCCACACUGGGACUGAGACACGGCCCAGACUCCUACGGGAGGCAGCAGUGGGGAAUAAUGGACAAUGGGCGAAAGCCUGAUCCAGCAAUGCCGCGUGAGUGAUGAAGGCCUUAGGGUUGUAAAGCUCUUUUACCCGGGAUGAUAAUGACAGUACCGGGAGAAUAAGCUCCGGCUAACUCCGU
rnacentral:rRNA from 1 species